GACGAACGCUGGCGGCGUGCCUAAUACAUGCAAGUAGAACGCUGAAGGAGGAGCUUGCUUCUCUGGAUGAGUUGCGAACGGGUGAGUAACGCGUAGGUAACCUGCCUGGUAGCGGGGGAUAACUAUUGGAAACGAUAGCUAAUACCGCAUAAGAGUAGAUGUUGCAUGACAUUUGCUUAAAAGGUGCAAUUGCAUCACUACCAGAUGGACCUGCGUUGUAUUAGCUAGUUGGUGGGGUAACGGCUUACCAAGGCGACGAUACAUAGCCGACCUGAGAGGGUGAUCGGCCACACUGGGACUGAGACACGGCCCAGACUCCUACGGGAGGCAGCAGUAGGGAAUCUUCGGCAAUAGACGGAAGUCUGACCGAGCAACGCCGCGUGAGUGAAGAAGGUUUUCGGAUCGUAAAGCCCUGUUGUAAGAGAAGAACGAGUGUGAGAGUGGAAAGUUCACACUGUGACGGUAUCUUACCAGAAAGGGACGGCUAACUACGUG
rnacentral:rRNA from 1 species